rnacentral:rRNA from 1 species
GACGAACGCUGGCGGCGUGCUUAACACAUGCAAGUCGAACGGAGAGGUCCGGCUUCUUGCGGGUGCACAAGUUGCGAACGGACGAGUAACUAACGAGUAACCAGCCCGUGACAUGGGGAUAACUUAAGGACACUGAGGAUAGUAACGGCUAGGUACUCCUGCGGCAUGGUGGGGGUUGGCAGGUUGCGGCGGUUGUGGAAGAAGUCGCGGCUUCGCGGUUUGUUGGUGUGGUAGUGGCUUACCAGUGCGUUGACGGAUAGCCGGACUGAGAGGGUGACCGGCCACAUAGGCACUGAGAUGCCGGCCAGACUCCUACGGGAGGCAGCGGUGGGAGAUAGUGCACGAUGGGCGGAAGGCUGAUGCAGCAACGCCGCGUGCGGGAGGACGGCCAUCGGGUUGGAACGCGCUUUCGCCUGUGACGAAGCGUGAGUGACGGUAAUGGGUAAAGAAGCACCGGCUAACUACGUG